rnacentral:rRNA from 1 species
AGUCGAGCGAGGAAGUCCCUUCGGGGGCGAGUACGGCGGCGAAAGGGUGAGUAACACAUAGAUAACCUGCCUCUUGGACUGGGAUAAUUCCUGGAAACGGGUUGUAAUACCAGAUGGUCCUCCCGGGUCGCAUGGCCUGGUUGGUAAACGGUAGCUCUGCUUCUGCCAAGAGAGGGGUCUAUGUCCUAUUAGCUUGUUGGUGAGGUAACGGCUCACCAAGGCGAUGAUGGGUAGCCGGACUGAGAGGUUGGCCGGUCACACUGGGACUGAGACACUGCCCAGACUCCUACGGGAGGCUGCAGUCGAGAAUCUUCCGCAAUGGACGCAAGUCUGACGGGGCGACGCCGCGUGAACGAAGAAGGCCUUCGGGUUGUAAAGUUCUGUCGAAUGGGAAGAAGGCUACCGAGUUAAUAGCUCUGUGGUUGACGUUACCAUUGGAGGAAGCCCUGGCUAACUCCGUGCCAGCAGCCGCGGUAAUACGGAGAGGGCAAGCGUUGUUCGGAAUCACUGGGCAUAAAGCGCACGCAGGCGGAUUGGAAAGUCGGUUGUGAAAGCCCGGGGCUCAACUCCGGAACUGCUUCCGAAACUUCCAGUCUAGAGGAUGAGAGGGGAGAGUGGAACUUCUGGUGGAGCGGUGAAAUGCGUAGAGAUCAGAAGGAACACCGGUGGCGAAAGCGACUCUCUGGCUCAUUUCUGACGCUCAGGUGCGAAAGCUAGGGGAGCGAACGGGAUUAGAUACCCCGGUAGUCCUAGCCGUAAACGAUGAGCACUAGGCAGGGGGGAUUCUGACAUUUUCCCUGCUGUAGCUAAUGUGUUAAGUGCUCCGCCUGGGGAGUAUGGUCGCAAGGC